rnacentral:rRNA from 15 species
CAAGUGAUGCCGACAAUGAUGGCGGGGGGGGGAUGGCUGAAUUGCCAGCACAGCGAUGAAAUCCCCAGACAAAGUCAUGGUGAUCACAUUUGGAGGAGGCCCUCA